GCGGGUGUAACUCAAUUGGUAGAGUGUCAGCCUUCCAAGCUGAAUGUUGCCGGUUCGACCCCGGUCACCCGCU
rnacentral:tRNA from 1 species